UACAGAGGGUGCAAGCGUUGUUCGGAAUUAUUGGGCGUAAAGGGUGCGUAGGCGGUCGGGUAAGUCUGGCGUGAAAUCUCCAAGCCUAACUUGGAAACUGCGUUGGAUACUAUCCGGCUCGAGGAAUGGAGGGGAGACUGGAAUACUUGGUGUAGCAGUGAAAUGCGUAGAUAUCAAGUGGAACACCAGUGGCGAAGGCGAGUCUCUGGACAUUUCCUGACGCUGAGGCACGAAAGCCAGGGGAGCAAACGGG
rnacentral:rRNA from 1 species